UGGGGAAUAUUGGACAAUGGGCGCAAGCCUGAUCCAGCCAUGCCGCGUGAGUGAUGAAGGCCCUAGGGUUGUAAAGCUCUUUCACCGGUGAAGAUAAUGACGGUAACCGGAGAAGAAGCCCCGGCUAACUUCGUGCCAGCAGCCGCGGUAAUACGAAGGGGGCUAGCGUUGUUCGGAUUUACUGGGCGUAAAGCGCACGUAGGCGGACUUUAAGUCAGGGGUGAAAUCCCGGGGCUCAACCCCGGAACUGCCUUUGAUACUGGAAGUCUUGAGUAUGGUAGAGGUGAGUGGAAUUCCGAGUGUAGAGGUGAAAUUCGUAGAUAUUCGGAGGAACACCAGUGGCGAAGGCGGCUCACUGGACCAUUACUGACGCUGAGGUGCGAAAAGCGUGGGGAGCAAACGGGAUUAGAUACCCUGGUAGUCCACGCCGUAAACGAUGAAUGUUAGCCGUUGGGGAG
rnacentral:rRNA from 1 species